GACAGAGGGUGCAAACGUUGUUCGGAAUUACUGGGCGUAAAGGGCGCGUAGGCGGCCACCGCAAGUCAAUUGUGAAAUCUCCGGGCUUAACUCGGAAAGGUCAACUGAUACUGCGGGGCUAGAGUGCGGAAGGGGCAACUGGAAUUCUCGGUGUAGCGGUGAAAUGCGUAGAUAUCGAGAGGAACACCUGCGGCGAAGGCGGGUUGCUGGGCCGACACUGACGCUGAGGCGCGAAAGCCAGGGGAGCGAAUGGG
rnacentral:rRNA from 1 species